rnacentral:rRNA from 1 species
AACGAACGCUGGCGGCGUGCUUAACACACGCAAGUCGAACGCGAAAGGGACUUCGGUCCUGAGUAAAGUGGCGCACGGGUGAGUAACGCGUAGAUAACCUGUCUUCAUGUCUGGAAUAAUACGCCGAAAGGGGUACUAAUACCGGAUAUUCUUGCUUUUCAUAAGUUAUGCAAGCAAAGGUGGCCUCUGCAUAUGCUACUGCAUGAAGAGGGGUCUGCGUACCAUUAGCUAGUAGGUGGGGUAAUGGCCUACCUAGGCGACGAUGGUUAGCGGGCCUGAGAGGAUGAUCCGCCACACUGGCACUGGAACACGGGCCAGACUCCUACGGGAGGCAGCAGUGAGGAAUAUUGCGCAAUGGGGGAAACCCUGACGCAGCGACGCCGCGUGAGUGAAGGAAGGCCUUCGGGUCGUAAAGCUCUGUCAAGAGGAAAGAAGUGUACAAUGGCUAAUACCUGUUGUAUUUGACGGUACCUCUAAAGGAAGCACCGGCUAACUCCGUGCCAGCAGCGGC